rnacentral:rRNA from 1 species
GACGAACGCUGGCGGCGUGCCUAAUACAUGCAAGUCGAACGAGAGCGACCGGUGCUUGCACUGGUCAAUCUAGUGGCGAACGGGUGAGUAACACGUGGGUAACCUGCCCAUCAGAGGGGGAUAACAUUCGGAAACGGAUGCUAAAACCGCAUAGGUCUUCGAACCGCAUGGUUUGAAGAGGAAAAGAGGCGCAAGCUUCUGCUGAUGGAUGGACCCGCGGUGCAUUAGCUAGUUGGUGAGGUAACGGCUCACCAAGGCCGUGAUGCAUAGCCGACCUGAGAGGGUGAUCGGCCACAUUGGGACUGAGACACGGCCCAAACUCCUACGGGGGGCAGCAGUAGGGAAUCUUCCGCAAUGGACGCAAGUCUGACGGAGCAACGCCGCGUGAGUGAAGAAGGUUUUCGGAUCGUAAAACUCUGUUGUUAGAGAAGAAUAAGUGCUAGAGUAACUGUUAGCGCCUUGACGGUACCUAACCAGAAAGCCACGGCUAACUACGUG